rnacentral:rRNA from 1 species
UACAGAGGAGCCAAGCGUUGUCCGGAUUGACUGGGCGUAAAGCGCACGCAGGCGGUCGCGCGCGUGGGGUGUGAAAUCUGGCCGCUUAACGGCCAGGCGCCAUCCCAUACGGCGCGACUGGAGUGAUGCAGAGGUCGAUGGAAUUGCCGGUGUAGUGGUGAAAUUCGUAGAUAUCGGGAGGAACACCAGUGGCGAAGGCGGCGAUCUGGGAAGAUACUGACGCUGAGGUGCGAAAGCGUGGGGAGCAAACAGG